rnacentral:piRNA from 1 species
UAGGGUAAAGUCCUAAGACUCAGGCCUC